rnacentral:lncRNA from 1 species
GCUAAACUGCAUUAACACACCAAGAUACAACAAGGCUGUUUCUCAACAACAACAAAAAGAUACAACAAGGUUGUUUCUCAACAACAACAACAACAAAAAGGUUACAACAAGGCUGUUUCUCAACAACAACAACAACAACAACAACAACAAGAUACAACAAGGCCAUCCAGGUUACAUACAUAAUACAUACUCUAAUACAUGCAUACACGCUGGCUACCAAAAGGUCAUCUCCAUGACUUGGUGGAGUUGGGACUCUGCCCAUGAAUAAACGGCCUCCACUGCACCAGGUCGGAAAGAAACCAGAGCCACAAACCACUGAACUGGGCAUAAACUCUCUCAAUGUUAGCUCACCAGCUGAGCUGGUCUCACAUGCUGCCAGCAGUGGGGUUAAAAACCAGGGUUGCCACACUUAUCAAGUUGGAUCUAGUAUCCUGCAAAUUACUACAAACUUCAGCGCCAAAGCGGACUCUCCAAAACAUGCUUC